GGCCCCGCGGCGGCCGGCGGCCUGUCUGCAGCCUGGGCUCCGCCGGCCUCCUUCCUCAUUCUGGGGAAGGGGUGGGUCCCGAGCUCCCGGCCUCUGCCUCUGGCCGGGGCCCACCCUGCUCCCCCUCCUCUGGGCCAAUUAGAAGCAGUCAUCGGGACAUCAAUAAUGACCUUUUGUUUUUUUGAACAGUCAAGGCCAAGCAGCACCCACUGUCUUCACUGGCUCUGUGCAGGGAGUCCCACACACAGCACCCAGGGCUCCUCGUGGUCCUGGCUGCACAGCCACUCGGCCACCUCCCCAGGGGGCCUUCUCCCACCCGAGGAGCAGGCAGCUCUGGGACUCCUGCAAAUAUUUACCAAGCGCCUACUGUGUGCCUGGCAUUCUGGGCACAGCGGGGAACAAGAGGACAAAAUCCUCAAACCCCCUGCCUAACAUUCUAGACAGAUAAGGAGACACAUUGGACACACACGUCUGAGGCCCUCAGAAGGCAACACAUCCUGAGAGGAAAACAAAGCCGGGAAGGUGGACGGGAGACGAGAGGGCGCAUUUGUGGCUUGAAACAGAGGGUCCAGACGGCAUUUGGGACCAGAAGUCGGACAAGCAACCCACGCAUAAGGGGACCCUGGGAGCCGAACCCGCUCCCCCACAAGGUCAGGAGGCCACCCUGCCCUGCCCCUCACCCUCAGGACCCUAGCCAUAGGAGGGGACACACAGAGUGAACUCGUGUCUGCUUCCCAGACUGACAGAAUAGCCCCCGCCCAGCAGAUCUUUGCUGUGUUUGGGUGCAGAGCUCUCUUUGAAGGCUCUGGAAAGUUCUCGAAGAUUCCAGGACACCCCUCCCCUCAGAAAUACACAGAGGCCUCUGGACCCCUCACAGAUGGCAUUAGUGAGGCUCAGAGAGGGUGCAUGCGGUGCCUGGGGUCACACAGCUGCCACAGGCUCCCCUCCCCCACGCCCAGCCAACACCAAUGCGGUUUUUCUCUGCUGUUGAUUCAUAACGAACGGCAGAUGGGAAGUUCCGUAGGGGCCCUGCUGGGUCACUGGGGCCGGCACCACUGCCUGCCCACCCACAUCCCGCCUCCCCCACCGGAUGGCUGUGAGGAGGGUGCUCGCUGGGACCAGAGGCUUGGGUGGCUUCCCACCCUGGGGCAGGUGAUGAAAAGCAGAAAUAGGUCUGGGCCAGGCAGAGCUGGGCGGAUGGCAGCAGAACAGAGCUCACCAACUUGGCAAAACCAGGAGGCCGGGCUGAGUCACAGACUGGAGAGCGGAUGGCAGAGCGAGGCCCUGGAGAGCCCAGGGCCACCCGCUGUCCAUCCAUUUCCCGACUGACACCUGGCCCCCAGCGUGUCACACAGGGCCAGGGCGGCAGGCUCUGGUCUAAUAGCUUCCAUGGCUCCCACUGACCUCAGGGGAAAAAAAAAAAACAAUCCAGCACCUUGAUUGCCCCUCCUCCAGGGCCUGGCCUCUGUGAAUUUCUCCAGCCUCACAGCAAACUCCUUUCCAGUUUCCGGACAAGCGAGCUGCUUCCUCUCCACGUAACAGGUGCCAUCCAGGACAUCUGUCGCUUACUAGUUCAUUCAGGAAUAACAGGGUGAGCGUGUGUGUGCAUUUAAACACACACACACACACACACACACAGAAAACGCGUAAAACGUGAACACACAACCUAAUACGUUCUUGUGAAACCAGCACCCACGAGCUGUCCACCCAGGCCGAGACCAAGGGCAUCAUCAGUCUUGCCCUUUCCCACAGGGCCCCCCACCCUCCCGCCUCUGCUGGGCAGUCAGCACUGCUCUGGCCUCUAUGGUAUUUCUGUGUUUGGGGAGUACUUUUUGGCAACAAGAUUUAUUUUGUUUUUCAUUUGUUCAAUUUACGUGGCUUGGUACACGCUUCCUUUGUUGUACGGUUCUGAGUUUUCACAAAUGCACAGUCCUGUAAAUUCCGGCUGGAACAGUUGACAGAGGUGGUUCUGCCACCUGAAGAAGGCACUCCGUGGUAGCCAGACGCUCACCCCAGCCCUCACCUCUGGAAACUACUGGCCUGCUCUUCACUGCUGUGGUUUUGGGGACCUUUCUGAGAAUGUCAUAUGAAUGGAAUCAUACAUUAUGUAGCUUUUGAGACUGGCUCCCUUCACGUUUAUUUCAGCCAUUCUAAGAUGCACGGAAUGGUACCUCGCUGUGCAGUUAAUCUACGUCUCUCUGGUCAACUAAUGAUGCUGAGUAUCUUUGCCAUCCAUGUCUCUUCUUUGGGGAAGUGUUUGUUCAAAUAUUUUGCCGUUUCUUUCAGUGCAUUUGUUUUCUUUUUUCUUUUUGUCACAUUUCUUUAGUUAUAUUUAUUAUUUAUUUUUUAGUUGAAGUAUAGUCAGUUUACAAUGUUGUGUCAGUUUCUGGUCUGCAAAAUACUGUUUCAGUCUUCCGUCUACGUGCAUAUAUUCCUUCUCAGAUUCUUUUUCAUUGUAGGUGACUACAAGAUACUGAAUAUUGUUUCCUGUGCUAUACAGUAGAAACUUGUUGUUUGUCUAUAUAUAGUAGUAUCUGCAAAUCUUGAACUCCCAAUUUAUCCAUUCCCACCCUCUUUCCCCUCUGGUAACUGUAAGUUUGUUCUCUAUGUCUGUGUGUCUGUUUCUAUUUUGUAAAUAAGUUCAUUUUGUGUCUUUUAUUUUUUAGAUUUCACAUAUAAGUGAUAGCAUAUGGUAUUUUUCUGUCUCUGUCUGGCUUACUUCACUUAGUAUGACGAUCUCCAGGUCCAUCCAUGUUGCAGCAAAUGGCAUUAUUUCAUUCUUUUUUAGGGCUGAGUAAUAUUCCACUGUAUAAAUAUACCACAACUUCUUUAUCCAGUCGUCUGCUGAUGGACGUUUAGGUUGCUUCCAUGUCUUGGCUGUUGGAAAUAGUGCUGCUGUGACCACUGAGAUACCCAGUUGUUCCGGCAUCAUCUGUUAAAAAGACUGAACUUUCUCUGUUGAACUCCCUUUGUACCUUUGCCAAAAAUCAUUUCGCCGUAUUGUGUGAGUCUGGUUGAUGAUGGGGCUUAGAUCCCUCUUCUUGCUAAUAGUCUGUCUGCUCAUUCUACCGAUUACCGACUGUAGCAGCUCUGAAGUGUAAUUGUGGAUUUAUCUGUUUCUCCGUUUAGUCGCCUCAUUUUGCUUCACCUAUUUUGAGCAGACACAUUAGGAUUCUUAUGUCCUCUUGGUGAACUGAUUUCUCUUAUGACCCUCCUAUGUAAUGUGCCUCCAGCCUUCCUUGCUUUUCUUUAUAAAUUUACAACCGGAUUAAACAACCCUAAAAGUCAUGUUCAGUUUCUGCCAGUUUUGAACACUGUGAAUAUGCAGUUGCACAAGACAAUUUCUGGUCUUUCUGGUUUCUACCUAUUGCUCAGUGUUUUGUCUGUGUCAUAAAUCAGAUUGUUGCAUGCGGUUGAAAUUCACUAAUUCCCACUGCCCUACACUAUUCCACUGGGUGACUGUCCCACCACCCAUAUGGGCAUUCUAAUUCUGUUUGUUUAAACUGAGACAGCGUUGGUACAUAGCAUACGAGUUUCAGCUGUAGGACAUAAUGGUUCUCUGUUUGUCUCUGUUGUGAAAUGAGCGCCUCAGUGAGCCUCGUUAACACACAUGAGCACACACGGCGAUCCUUUUUCCCUUGGGAUGAGAGCUUUUGCGAUCUACCCUCUCAGCAGCUUUCAAACGUGCAACACAGUGCUCUGAACUGUCGUCACCAUGCUGUGUCAUGCGUCUGUUCUACAGUUGACGGGCCAUUGGUUCCAUCUCAGUUUGGGACUGUAACAAGCAGGGUGGCUGUGCACAUUUGGUCUGUGCCUUUUUGGAGACCACACGGCUGAGCGUCUGUAAAUAAACAGCCAGUUGUGGAGCUGCCGGGUUACAAGCAUUUCCCAGCUAUUAACGCUCUUCUGCCAAAGCGCAUGUGCUGGUUUACACUCCCCCACUGGUUCAGGUGCGUGUCAUAGACCUAAAUGCAUUCAAUCCAGAAGUCUCUCCUUUAUUCAUAAAGGACGAUUUCCUUGCUGUUUCUUUGAUACUAAAAUGUCCUUUCUGUUUAGUGAGGAAUAGGAUGUUUACACAGUUCCCGAGUACCUCGCAGUCCUCAGCUGAUGAGAGCACUGGCCGCUGCGGUUGGCCGCGCAAGGUCACGACCGCCUCCCACCAGGGGUGGCCCAAGGCUGGGGUACAAGGCCCAUCUCCCCCUUUUAACUGAUGAAUCAUGUGUUUGAUUACAUUUCUGAGGAUAUAUUCAAAAGGAUGGAGAGCAGGGUCUCCAGGGGGUGCUUUGCACUCACUUUCACAGCAGUGCGAGUCACCUCAGCCAAAAGGAGGAAACAUCCAGGUGUCCCUCUCGGGCCCCCUGGGCCGGCUUCGUGGGCAGGGGACCCGGAAGAUUUUCCGUCUUGAAAGCCUCUUGAUUUUGUAACAAAGGCCCUGCGUUUUCACUUUGCACCGGGCCCUCCUGGCUAGACAGGCCGUGGUAGCGGGGCGCCGCUCCCUGCCUGAGUUUCCCUGCUGGAACCAGGAUGCGGAGAGGACCCCACUGAAGGAUGCGCGUUCCGGCCAAAGGUGGGCAGGUGGGCGGGCGGGCGGAGAGCGGGCGAGCGCCAUCUGCCGGCCUCCGGGGGCACGACGGCCAGAUGGGCCAUCAGCGUCGGGGGAGAUCCCUCCCCACACCCACCUCCGGAAUCCCACUCCCCUCCUAUGCCUCUACCUGGGAUCAGCACAGCGUCUCCCGACUGGACCCUCACAGUUCCCUCCUCGCUGAUCCCCCGUCCCCACAGUCUGUCCUCCCCGCAGCAGCCACCAGAGGGCGCCUGCGAGCACCUGAGUCAAAUCUCGUCCUCUUCUGCCUACAGCCCUCCAGGGCUCUCUCCUCCCUGGGGUAAGUGCUCCCCACGGUCCACAAGGCCCUGUACUACCUGCUCUGUCCCCUCCGUGCCCUCCCCUCUUCCCUCUCUCCCCCUCACUCACUGCUGCAGCCACACGGGCCUCCUUGCUGUUCCUCCAACACGCCAGGCAUGGUCCUGUCCCAGGGCGUUCGCACCGGCUGUUUCCUCUGCCUGGAAAGCCUUUCCCUCAGAUCACGGCAUGGCCUGUUCCCUUCACGUCUUCCAGGAUCCUACUCAUAUGCCACCUUCUCAGAAAGGCCUUUCCUGAACAGCCUGUCUGAAGUGGCCACUACUGCUCUCAUGUCUCGUCCCUGCUCAGUAUUUCUUCAUGACUGAGUCAUGGUGAUAGAGUGUCUCCCCCUCCUCCUUAUCUGCAGCGCUUAGGACCGCACUUGGCCCACACAGGGCCUUCAAGGCAUUUCCAUCCCACUGAUGAGUUCACAGGAGCCAAGAGGUGAAAACAACCCAAGUGUCCGCCUACAGAUGUGGAGUAUCCACAGUGGAGUAUCACUCAGCCAGAUGGAAGGCGCUUCGGGCACCUGCUACAGCGUGGAUGGAACUUGAGGGCGUGAUACUCACAGGAGGUCCCUGGAGGAGUCACACCCACAGCGACAGAGUAGACGGUGGGGCCGGGGCUGGGGGAGGGGCUGGGAGUGAGUGUCUCAUGGGACAGUUUCUGAGGUGAUGAAAGGGUUUUGGAGAAGACAGUGCACGACAGAAACAGUCGCACAGCAUUGUGAGUGAAGGCAACGUCACUGAAUUGUACAGUUAAAAAUGGUUAAGAUGGUAGAUUGUAUGUUGUGUGUACUUACACUUUAAAAAUAAAUUUUUAAGGA